AGUGAACGCUGGCGGUAGGCCUAACACAUGCAAGUCGAACGGCAGCACAGGAGAGCUUGCUCUCUGGGUGGCGAGUGGCGGACGGGUGAGGAAUACAUCGGAAUCUACUCUGUCGUGGGGGAUAACGUAGGGAAACUUACGCUAAUACCGCAUACGACCUACGGGUGAAAGCAGGGGACCUUCGGGCCUUGCGCGAUUGAAUGAGCCGAUGUCGGAUUAGCUCGUUGGCUGGGUAAAGGCCCACCAAGGCGACGAUCCGUAGCUGGUUGGAGAGUAUGCUCACCGACACUGGAACUGCGACACGGUUCAGGCUCCGACGGGAGGCAGCGGUGGGGAAUAUUGGACAGCGGGCGCAAGCCUGAGCCAGCCAUACCGCGUGGGUGAAGGAGGCCUUCGGGUUGUCAAGCCCUUUUGUUGGGAAAGAAAUCCAGCUGGCUAAUACCCGGUUGGGAUGACGGUACCCAAAGAAUAAGCACCGGCUAACUUCGUGCCAGCCGCCGCGGUAA
rnacentral:rRNA from 1 species